rfam:Smittium culicis strain GSMNP scaffold-9575, whole genome shotgun sequence.
AGGGUUAUAAUUUAAUUGGUUAAAAUCUUCAUCUCCAAAAUGAAUAAUAAAGGUUCAAAUCCUUUUAACCCUG